rnacentral:rRNA from 1 species
CCUACGGGAGGCAGCAGUGAGGAAUAUUGGUCAAUGGGCGCGAGCCUGAACCAGCCAAGUCGCGUGAAGGAUGACUGCCCUACGGGUUGUAAACUUCUUUUAUAGAGGCAUAAAGUGAUGCCCGUGUGCCUUUUUGUAUGUACUUACUGAGUACGGAUAGCCUAACUCCGUGCCAGCAGCCGCGGUAAUACGGAGGGUCCGAGCGUUAUCCGGAUUUAUUGGGUUUAAAGGGAGCGUAGAUGGGUUGUUAAGUCAGUUGGGAAAGGUUGCGGUUCAACCGUAAAAUUGCAAUUGAUACUGGUAGGCUUGAGUACAGGAGAGGUAGGUGGAAUUCGUGGUGUAGCGGUGAAAUGCUUAGAUAUUACGAAGAACACCGAUGGCGAAGGCGGCUUACUAAACUGCAACUGACAUUGAGGCUCGAAAGUGUGGGGAGCAAACAGGAUUAGAUACCCAAGUAGUC